AUCAGGGUUAUAGGGUUACGCCCACACAUUUCUUAACCAUUAUAUAUACGAUGUUCAGUUUCAUUUCAAUACGAUUUCGCAGCCGCUGUAAAUCAAGAUCACAAUCGUUUCUUACAUAUAUGAAAAUCAUGCAUCGUUUUCUUUAUGUUAUCGACUCAUAAUAAUCACCAAGAGUUUUAUGUGUCGAUUUUUUCUUUUCCUUCAUCAUGCACAUAGAUCUAAAAAUUAGUAAAGAUCCGCCAUAUAUACUUUGGUGUUUCGAAGAUUAUGCUGUUCGACUAUCACUCACACUAUACUUUGAUGUGUAUUCUGUUGUCAGCCUAGUAGAAUCAGAUUACUAUGAGUUAGGUGUUCAUAACAUUUCAAGAGUUGGUUUUGUAGGUUUGUCCGAGGCUCCUAGCUUGAAAAGGUAAAUUUAUAUAACGUUUUCUUAUGUAAAUGUUUCGAUUCCAAUCAAUUUUUCUGCUCAACUUUCCAAUUUAUGCUGUAUCUACUAACGUUAAUUUCAUUAGUAUAAAGCUGACAUCUACUUCAAUUCUUAUUGAAUUCUGCGUGGAGAUUAUGAGAUCGUGUUGCAGAUCUGAUCUGUAGUUCUUUACAUGCUUAAUUAUUCCUUAAAUAUCACUAAAGAUACUGAUAUGUGUGGAUCGAGUAUUAGAUCUCUUUAAAGCAAAAAGAUCUGACAGAGACUUUAGUUUUAGUAAUUUUAAUUUUUGAAUCCGAAGGUUUUUCAAUAAGUAUUUUUAUGUGUGGCAAACCAAAAAAGUUAAUUAAUGUUCAUUAUAAUAAAUAGGAUGAAGUGGUUGGCUGAGACGAAUCCUGAGAAGAUGAGGCAAAAGACGGAAGGAGGGCUCCUUUGCUGAUUAAAGUAGCGGAUGUAGUUUAGUGUAUUAGAUAAACCGUGACAACAUUAAACAUGAACUUUUGUUAUAACAGAGGCCAAUUUGAACUUUAUGUCUCGAUAAAUCGAUUAAAAAAGCCUAAGUACAAAACAUUUACUGGACAAUCUUAUACAUUCCUUUGCUGAUUAAAGUAGCGGAUGUAGUUUCCAUUGGUUACAGGGUGGAUUAAUCUUUGUUUAAACCCUGUUUUAUUUUCUGUCAAGUUAUUGUAUGAGUAUAAAUAUAUAUAUGAUAUGUGUUGGUGUAUCAUUGUAUGCAUAUGAAUUUGAAUACUUCAUGAUCCUGCAAACAUAUUUCACAUUACUCAUAAUCUAUUCUCAUGAGAUGCAAGCACACCUUUCAUAAAGGAACAACAUUUCAAAAGUAUUAACCUUUCAAUACCUUCCCGUAUUUGAAAAUGUCAGUCCAGC
rnacentral:lncRNA from 1 species